UUAACUUAAAUUUGUAUAGAGUUGGAACUUUUGCCUACGUUUGUCACUAGGGGCGCUGUUCAACCUGCAUACAAAUUCGAAUUA
rfam:Bombyx mori DNA, contig: Bm_scaf20_contig14531, strain: p50T/Dazao, build 2, whole genome shotgun sequence.